AGUGAACGCUGGCGGCAGGCCUAACACAUGCAAGUCGAACGGCAGCACGGCAGUAGCAAUACUGUGGGUGGCGAGUGGCGGACGGGUGAGGAAUACAUCGGGAUCUACCCUGUUGUGGGGGAUAACGUAGGGAAACUUACGCUAAUACCGCAUAAGAACUGAGGUUGAAAGCGGCGGACCGCAAGGCGUCGCGCGAUUGGAUGAAUCGAUGUCCGAUUAGCUAGUUGGCGGGGUAAAGGCCCACCAAGGCGACGAUCGGUAGCUGGUCUGAGAGGACGACCAGCCACACUGGAACUGAGACACGGUCCAGACUCCUACGGGAGGCAGCAGUGGGGAAUAUUGCACAAUGGGCGAAAGCCUGACGCAGCCACGCCGCGUGAGUGAUGAAGGCCUUCGGGUCGUAAAACUCUGUCGGGAGGGACGAAGGGGCAACCCUGACGGUACCUCGCAAGAAAGCACCGGCUAACUCUGUGCCAGCAGCCGCGGUAAU
rnacentral:rRNA from 1 species